rnacentral:rRNA from 1 species
CCCUUAGAUGCUCUGGGCCGCACGCGCGCUACACUGGUCGAUGCAACGAGUUUCUUUCCUUGGCCGACAGGCCUGGGCAAUCUUUGAACAUCGAUCGUGAUCGGGAUAGAUUCUUGUAAUUUUUGAUCUUAAACGAGGAAUUCCUAGUAAACGCAAGUCAUCAGCUUGCAUUGAUUACGUCCCUGCCCUUUGUACACACCGCCCGUCGCACCUACCGAUUGAAUGGUCCGGUGAAAUCUCCGGACUGGCGUGAGUCGGAGCAAUCUGACAAACACCGGAAAGUUUAUUAAACCUUACCAUUUAGAGGAAGGUGAAGUCGUAACA